UACAGAGGGUGCGAGCGUUGUUCGGAAUUACUGGGCGUAAAGCGCGCGCAGGCGGCUCUUUAAGUCUCGUGGUCAAAUGCCGGGGCUCAACCCCGAGCGUGCCGGGGAUACUGGAGGGCUGGAGACAGGUAGAGGCAAGCGGAAUUCCGGGUGCAGCGGUGGAAUGCGUAGAGAUCCGGAAGAACACCGGAGGCGAAGGCGGCUUGCUGGACCUGGUCUGACGCUGAGGCGCGAAAGCGUGGGGAGCGAACAGG
rnacentral:rRNA from 1 species